GACGAACGCUGGCGGCGUGCUUAACACAUGCAAGUCGAACGGAAAGGCCUCUUUCGGGGGGUACUCGAGUGGCGAACGGGUGAGUAACACGUGAGUAACCUGCCCUUGACUUUGGGAUAACUUCAGGAAACUGGGGCUAAUACCGGAUAGGAGCUCCUGCUGCAUGGUGGGGGUUGGAAAGUUUCGGCGGUUGGGGGUGGACUCGCGGCGUAUCCGCUUGUUGGUGGGGUAGUGGCUUACCAAGGCUUUGACGGGUAGCCGGCCUGAGAGGGUGACCGGCCACAUUGGGACUGAGAUACGGCCCAGACUCCUACGGGAGGCAGCAGUGGGGAAUAUUGCACAAUGGGUGGAAGCCUGAUGCAGCAACGCCGUGUGCGGGAUGACGGCCUUCGGGUUGUAAACCGCUUUCGCUCAUGACGAAGCUUUGUGUGACGGUAGUGGGUAAAGAAGCACCGGCUAACUACGUG
rnacentral:rRNA from 1 species